UGGGAUGCAGAGGGGGGGACACGGAGCUGGGAUAGGGAAGGAAACUGGGAUACGGAGCCGGGAUGGGGAAGGAAACUGGGGUGCAGAACUGGGAUAUGGAGAAGGGAGUGGGGAGGGAAACUGGGGUGCAGAGGGGGACACAGAGCUGGGAUAUGGAGCUGGGAUGGGGAAGGAAACUGGGAUGCAGGACUGGGAUAUGGAGCCGGCAUGCAGAGGGGGGGACACAGAGCUGGGAUGGGGAGCUGGGAUACAGAACUGGGAUACGGAGCUGGGGAUAUGGAGAAGGGAUGGGGAAGGGAAGUGGGAUGUGGAGCCGGGAUGCAGAGCGGGGCACGGAGCUGGGAUAUGGAGCGGGGCUGGGGAGCUGGGAUGAAGAACUGGGAUGCAGAGCGGGGUGGACACGGAGCCAGGAUAUGGAGCGAGGAUGGGGAGGGAAAUUGGGAUGUGGAGCUGGGAUGUGGAGUGGGGAUGGGAAGCCGGGAAGCAGAACCGGGAAGCAGAACCGGGAUGCAGAGGGUGACACGAAGCCAGAACGGGGCUGCAGAGCCCGGACCGUGCUGCUCCCGGGGCCGGGGUACGGGGGGGGGGACACGAGGGACAACUCUCGAGCCCCUCAGCUCCUCUCCCCCCCACACUCCCCACAAAGACCCCCAUCUGUGGGUGCAGAAGCUCCAGCCACCCCCUGUCCUCUCCGGAACACACCAGUAACUGGGUUGAACUGGGUCAGACUGGGCUUUGCUGGGUCAGACUGGGCUUUGCUGGGUCUCCCCCGAGCUCUGUCCCCUGCGCAGGGGACAUUUCCCCCCACCCCGUCGUGCCCACAGACCCUCCAGCGAACCCAAAACGGCAAAACCCGGGGCCAGCGGGGAAGGGCUGGUGGCAAACGGGCACCUCGGAGCGAUUUUGGGAGGGGGGGGGACACACUGUUCCCUGGGCGGGCAGCGAGCCAGGACCCAGGGAGCCCCCGGGACGUGUGUGUCCCCCCCUUCCCGAGGGACGAUGCCAGGAGAGCGGGUGCCAACCCCGGGCCGGGGCCCAGGACUCCCUGCCAGCAGCGAUUACGGACAAUGUUCUCCCCCGGGGGAAUUUUGUCGGAACGUGCCUUUUGUUGGGUGACCCACAACACAGCUGCGCUGGGACCUGCUCGGCCCCCCCAACCCCACCACGGGAGGGGGCACCGGGGGAUGGAUUUGGGCUAUUUCCCCCCCCAAAUUUGCCUGCAGGACCCUGCUGUGGGGCUGGGGCCGGGCUGGGACUCACUAGAGGGCACCAAAGGAUUGGGGACUGGGA
rnacentral:lncRNA from 1 species